GGUGAACGCUGGCGGCGUGCCUAAUACAUGCAAGUCGAGCGAACAGACGAGGAGCUUGCUCCUCUGACGUUAGCGGCGGACGGGUGAGUAACACGUGGAUAACCUACCUAUAAGACUGGGAUAAUUUCGGGAAACCGGAGCUAAUACCGGACAAUAUAUUGAACCGCAUGGUUCAAUAGUGAAAGACGGUUUUGCUGUCACUUAUAGAUGGAUCCGCGCUGCAUUAGCUAGUUGGUAAGGUAACGGCUUACCAAGGCAACGAUGCGUAGCCGACCGGAGAGGAGGAGCGACCACACUAGAACGGAGACGCGGUCCAGACUACUACGGGAGGCAGCAGUAGGGAAUCUUCCGCAAGGGGCGAGAGCCUGACGGGGCAACGCCGCGUGAGUGAUGAGAGUCUUCGGAUCGUAAAACUCUGUUAUUAGGGAAGAACAAAUGUGUAAGUAACUAUGCACGUCUUGACGGUACCUAAUCAGAAAGCCACGGCUAACUACGUG
rnacentral:rRNA from 1 species